GAUAAUAUUUUUUAUCUUAGAAUUAAUUUAAAAUUUGGAUCCAUGAAUAUUAACUUUUGUACUUUUGUAAUAUGUUUAGAAAUAUUACAAGUCUUUUAUUUUAAAAAUUUUGAUAAAGGUAUGUUGUUAUGUUUAUGAUUCCUAAUAAAACACUAUUAAUCUUGUGCAAUUCUGAUCAAUCUAAAUUGAGAAAGAUGAAUUAAUAUUUUUAGGAGAUUGUUGCAAAUUUCAGAAGUUGAUGUUUAUAGUUUAUAUACUUAAUUUGUAAAUUUACAAUGAUAAAUACAUUUUUGACAUUAUAAAAUGAUGAUCAUUACCUAGAAAUGUAUAUUAUCCUUACUUUUUGUAUAAUGCAUAGGUAAUGACACCAAAACAACAAUCUCAUGAUCCAGCUUGGAGACACGCACGUCGAUUAGAAAAUCGAUUUCAUUGGCAAUGUUUGCAUUGCGAUAUGAUUGGACGCGGCGGCGGGGUCACACGCUUAAAACAUCUUGCUGGUGGAUAUCCGGAUGUUUCUAAUUGUCCAAAAGUUUCUCAAGAAGUUCGUCGUGCAAUGAAAGAGGAACUUGAUGACAGAAAAGCAUUAAAGUAUAAACAACAACGAGAAUGUGAACUUGUUGAUAGUCGAAGCUCUAAAGAACCAAUCUAUGAUGAAAUGGAAGGUCGUGGUGAAGUUCCAAAUGACGAAGACUUUUUAGCAACUCUCAGUGCCUCUCAAACUCAAUAUGACUAUGAGCAAAAUAUGCAACAUAGAAGUGGCUCUGGUGCUAGUGGAAGUGGCUCAACUAUUGCAUCAACAUUAGGAAGGAGUGCAAGUGUUCGUAUUACUUCAAUACAAGGUGGUAUUGGUCGUUUUUUUUCUUCUAUGGGACGAAGACGUGCAGUUGAUAUUGCUGAUAUUAAUCCACUAGCAUUUCCAGACCAAGCUAGCAAACAGACUAGGAUUGAUGAUGCAUAUUUAAAAGAGAAGAAGAAAUCAAUCAGUAAAAGUAUUGCUAAAUUUUUUCAUUUUAAUCAUAUUCCCCCUAAUGCAGCAAACAACACAUACUACCGUAGCAUGGUGUCCAACAUCCAAAAAUCUGGUCCUGGUAUUCAACCUCCGACUGCAUAUGAAAUUGCCGGUCCAUAUUUAGAUGAGCAAGUGGAGGAGAUCAAGACUUGGAUCGUAUCAUGCAAGAAACAAUGGAGCUUAUAUGGGGUUACGUUGAUGUGUGAUGGCUGGACAGGACCUACACGGAUGAGCAUCAUCAACUUUCUACUAUACUGCAAUAGAAAGGUGAUAUUUCAUAAAUCUAUUGAUGCAACUACAGACUAUCAUGAUGCACCCUACAUAUUUCGUUUGAUGGAUAGUGUAGUUCACGAGAUAGGUGCAGAACAUAUAGUACAGGUGAUUACAGAUAAUGGUGCCAACUUUAAAAGGGCUGGAGAGAUGUUGGAGCAAAGGUAUCAAACAUUAUUUUGGACACCAUGCGCAGCACACUGUAUCGAUUUGCUGAUGGCAGAUAUCGGUAAGCUCGAUAUAGUGAAGAAGGUAGUGAAAAAAGGUCAAUCUUUAACAAAAUUCAUCUAUAAUCAUCAUUGGGUUCAUGGAUUAAUGAGGAAAUUUAUUGAUGGGGAGAUUUUGCGACCAGGAGCGACUAGAUUUGCCACUCACUUUCUACUGUUAAAAUCGUUGAAUCAGAAAAAAGUCGGAUUAAAGGCCAUGUUCUCUUCUGAGGAUUGGGAAACCUCUCGAUAUUCUAACACGACUGAAGGUAAGGAGGUGCAAAAAAUUAUUAUGUCUGUCAGAUUUUGGGAUUAUAUCGCAGAUAUUCUUAUAGCAGUAGAACCAUUGUAUGUUGUUCUACGUAAAGUUGAUAUGGACAAGAAGCCACAAAUGAGCAACGUUUACCGCUUAAUUCAUGAAGCAAAAGAGGAAAUUAAGAGGCGUCUACAAUCACCGACCAAGUAUCAACAUUACAUUGAUAUAAUCACUACAAGAUGGGAUGAUCAAAUGGGAAAACCUAUUCAGUUGGCCGGUACGUAUUUUUUUAAUGAUAACGAAUUUUUAAUAUUGUUAUUAAUAAUUAUAUAUGUUUAUUUAUUAUAGGCUAUUAUCUCAAUCCGGCAUAUCAAUAUCGUUAUAAUCUUGGCACAAAUGAUGAUUUAUUAGUGACCCUCAGACAUGUAAUAUCAAGACUGCAUACAAACACAGAAUCAAUUGCUGAGACUAUUAAUGAAAGUCGAUUAUUUCGAGAGGCAUAUGGUUCUUUUAGCGAUCCUAUUGCAGUUUCAUGCAGAUAUAAAAUGGAUGCAGCUGAGUGGUGGUUACAAUAUGGAGGAUCAGCUCCAAAUUUGAAAAAGAUUGCAGUACGAAUUCUCUCACAGACAACGUUUUCAAGCGGUUGUGAAAGAAAUUGGUCAACUUUCUCCCUCAUUCAUACAAAAGUACGAAAUCGUCUUUCUUAUCGUCGCUUGGAGAAGAUGGUCUAUGUUCAUUAUAAUAUGCGUCUUCAACUAAGAGCAAUAACAGAAGAGAAUGAAGAACAGGAGUCUGGUGAUGUAGACUCAUUUGAUAUUGGAUUUGUCCAGACUGAGAAUGAUCCAAUGAUGGAUUGGUGGAGCGCUGUUGAGGCUGAGAAUCCAUUACUUGAUGAAGCAGGAGACCCACCACGACCAUCUCAAUUUCUUACUCAACAGAUUGAAAAAAUACAAGCUAGAGUAGAUAUCUGCGAGGAAGAAGAUGAUGAAGCUUUUGAUCAAGAAUUUCGAUUUUCUGGAUCUCGGUCUAGGCGUUCUCAAACAUCACAAACCCAACCAAAGUCCAUAGAUAAAGGCAAAGGCAAAGCUCCUGCAAUUUUUACAAAAAAGAAAGAAAAAGGAAAACCUCCUACUUUUAUGGGAAGUGGUCCAUUUAGAAUUAGAGAAAAUCUACUCGAUGCAAUUGAUGAGCAAGAACAUGAUGACAGUGAUGAAACAUCAUCACCUUCUGACACUGUAGUCCGAUGAGAAGUUCGAAAUGAGGAUAGUGAUGUUGAUAGCAGUGCAAGUACUCAUGGAAGUGAUGACAGUGGUGAUGCAUCUAGUGGUAAAAAUUAUGUCCCCCCUACUCUAGCACCAGAGCCAUGGACAUGUGAGAUAGAUUACACACAUGCAACUCAAGAUGAUGAUCAUGGAGCUAGAGGUAGUACUAUUCAAUAUCAACGUCGAUAUAAAGGUGACAAACAAAAGAAAGCUCAUAAUUAUCAAGAUAUACGGGAGAGUUUAGCUGAGAUUGAUUCUAGUCGAAGUUCAUCAUACUCGUAACCUUCUUAUUAUAACUCUGAUGCAUCAUAUGGUGAUCCGUCAUACCAGAGCUCGGGGGCUUAUGCUUAUCCUUAUCCUUAUCCUGUGUCUGUACCCGUUUCGAUUUCAGUGGUGCCAGUUCAAAUCCAACAUCCAGUGAUGAAUCGAGACACGCUGAUGAACAUGUGGAGAAAUCAAUAUCAAUAUUGCAUGUCAUGGGAUGCUUAUUUAAUCUGGUCAUUGGAGAAUUAUGGAGUUGACCUAAGCAGAAUGUCGCAAGAACCAAUGCUUCCAUCUGAUUCACGUCACUCCUUUUGGUAUUAAUAAGGUAACAUAUUAUGAUGUAUCAAUUUUAAUUCAAGUUAUUCCUAGAUCAACUUUUUUUAAAGAAAAUUAUAUUUAAUUAUUUUUUCUAACCAUAUUAAGUUGUUCAAUAAUUAAGAAUUUAUAUAAAAUUAA